UUGUGCUGACGCACACCUGUUAAAAUUAAAAGUGCGGACGUAUUUCUCAUUUAAUGGUUCUUUUUCCACCGUUAGCUUAAUAACAUAAGCCUAUUGUAACACUGCAGUAUUCUCAGUUAUAAGUAACUACAAAAGCCUUACUGCCAAGUCUGUCUCACAGCUGGACUGAGCACCUGCUGUAUAUGGAGCUGGACAUACUUAUUGAUUAAUGUGCGGGGGAGUGGCCCCAGACAUCGUGGCUCCCUCAUUGCAUCCCCAAGCAUAGAAAACAAGCAACACAGGAAAAGUGAGGUAAAGCAAUUUGAAAACUGGACUCCAAUAUGACCUUUGAUUAUGAGAGGAAUAAAGCAGUGCUCAUAUCCCAGGCCUCUCCGUUUCCUCUCAACAUGAUGAAUGGGACACCCUGAGCUGCAGGACAGAACAACCAUUUGAGAAUCCAGGGCAAAGGUGGAGCCAUCUUUAAGGGAUGCUGGGAGGAUAACCGGUCCAUUUUUCUUGGCCUCCACCUUCAGAAGGGGCUCGGAUGCUCAGAUCCUAGACUGAAUAAUUUGUCACCUAUUUACAUGGAGCCAAGAACUGGGGAAAUGGAACGAGCAGGUGGUAUCUCACUCUCCCUCCUCCCUGUGCCACAGACAGAUGUGUCUAACUGCAAACAUCCCCCCAUCUUCUCUCCUUCUCCUGGGGCUCUCUUUCAAUGUGUUGCACUCUUGAUGUCUAAAAUAAGAAAGGCAAAUCACUGCUGCUCAGAACUGGCCUAAUAAUGUUUUUGUUAUCUGACAAAGAGUUAUUUUCUUAAUUGCACAACAAAUUGAUGGAUAACAGACAAAAUUAGAUAUCACAGUAUCACACAGAGCACACAGUUCUAUGCACAACCAAGAAAGCUUCAGAUUAUCUCAUUUGAUAACCUGGAGCCAUCAAAUUUUUGGAGUUUUAUUCAGGUCUGUAAACACACAGUACCGUGAGUUUGACUGUCUGUUAAUGUGUUUCUGCU